rnacentral:SRP_RNA from 1 species
GCCGGGCGCGAUGGCGCAUGCCUGUAGUCCCAGCUACUUGGGAGGCUGAGGUGGGAGGAUCACUUGAGCCUAGGAGUUCUGGGCUGUAGUCUGCUAUGCCGAUCGGGUGUCCGCACUAAGUUCGGCAUCAAUAUGGUGACCUCCCGGGAGCGGGGGAACCACCAGGUUGCCUAAGGAGGGGUGAACCGGCCCAGGUUGGAAACAGAGCAGGUCAAAACUCCUGUGCUGAUCAAUAGUGGGAUCGCACCUGUGAAUAGCCACUGCACUCCCGCCUAGGCAACAUAGUGAGACCCCAUCUCUA